UGUCCAGCAGCACCUUAGAGACCAACUAAGUUUGUUCUUGGUAUAAGCUUUCUGAAGAAGUGUGCAUGCACAUGAAAGCUUAUACCAAGAACAAACUUAGUUGGUCUCUAAGGUGCUACUGGACA
rnacentral:miRNA from 1 species